UACAGAGGGUGCAAACGUUGCUCGGAAUCAUUGGGCGUAAAGCGCGUGUAGGCGGCUCGUUAAGUCGGUUGUGAAAACCCAUGGCUCAACCAUGGAAGGGCGUCCGAAACUGGCGAGCUAGAGUCCCGACGAGGAUGGCGGAAUUCCCAGUGUAGAGGUGAAAUUCGUAGAUAUUGGGAGGAACACCGGUGGCGAAGGCGGCCAUCUGGGAGGGCACUGACACUGAGACGCGAAAGCGUGGGGAGCAAACAGG
rnacentral:rRNA from 1 species